rnacentral:lncRNA from 1 species
UGGGAGCUAGGGCUCGUACCACUUACUCGGAUCAGAAGCUCAAGGAAGAUGAGCUCGAGGCACGUGUGGAGUCCGAACCGACAAAGAUAGUGAGGAUGAUCGGAGGGCCUGGAAUAAAAGCUUGAAGCAAAGUGAAGAGGGUCGUUGGAUGAAGAGGAUAUGAUGAAGGUCUUGUUCCCUUUUCUUUCUUUCUCUGUUCUGGAUUUUUACCCUAUAUAAGGGGAUUGUUUUCAUGUAAAUAGAGAAUACGCUACACUGAGACAUUCAUUGGGUCACUUUUUCAUUUUCUGAUUUUUACAUUUUAGAGAGCGACGCGAGAGCUUGGGUUUUGUCG